rnacentral:rRNA from 1 species
GCAUAGUGCUGUACCACCUUGAAUUCUGAUCCCACUGGAUCUCAAACUAAGCAGCACAGGGCCUGGUUAGUACUUGAAUGGGUAGCCUCAAAGGAGAACAAAAGAAUUGGGCA